UACGUAGGGUCCGAGCGUUGUCCGGAAUUACUGGGCGUAAAGGGCGCGUAGGCGGUCAGCACAAGUCAGUUGUGAAAUCUCCGGGCUUAACCCGGAAAGGUCAGCCGAUACUGCGGGGCUAGAGUGCAGAAGGGGCAACUGGAAUUCUCGGUGUAGCGGUGAAAUGCGUAGAUAUCGAGAGGAACACCUGCGGCGAAGGCGGGUUGCUGGGCUGACACUGACGCUGAGGCGCGAAAGCUAGGGGAGCGAACGGG
rnacentral:rRNA from 1 species